rnacentral:rRNA from 1 species
UACGAAGGGGGCUAGCGUUGCUCGGAAUCACUGGGCGUAAAGGGUGCGUAGGUGGCGCUGUAAGUCGGGUGUGAAAUUUCGGAGCUUAACUCCGAAACUGCAUUCGAUACUGCGGUGCUUGAGGACUGGAGAGGAGACUGGAAUUCAUGGCGUAGCAGUGAAAUGCGUAGAGAUCAUGAGGAAGACCAGUGGCGAAAGCGGCUCACUGGAUCUCUUCUGACGCUGAGGCACGAAAGCUAGGGUAGCGAACGGG